CCGCGUCACAACGCAACACAACACAGCACAGCGCAACACAACGCAGAGCAGCGCCAAGCGGGCCGGCCCGGCCCCAGCCCCGGGCAGGCGGCGUGGAAAUGAGAUGCACAUUUACCCUUGACGCAGGGCAGGCCCGGCAGCGGCUCCCAGGGAGCCAGAGCCCAGGCCGAGGGGGCCCCACCUCUGCACCGGACCCGGUACAGCAGCCCGGGCCAGGCCUGCACGAGCCCGCCGAGGACGGGCAGAUGGAAUAAGCCCUGCGAGCAGCCUGGGAGCAGCCUGGGAGAGGUUCAGCCCCGUGACCAGACACGGCCUUGGAAAUGAUCCUGGGUGUCGCCCGCCCUCGCCAGCGUGUCAGCACGGCUCCCUGCCUCCGGGCCCGUCUCUCGGGGCUACUCAGGACACCGCAGCGGCCGGGCCCUGCCCUACCCAGCCUGGGCUGUGCGGGAGCCUCUGCCCGACACCGCAGCAGAGCGGGCACCGGGCAAGCGGAACAAGCCCCGGCCCCUGCACCGGGACGGGCGGAGGGGGAGGCCGGGCCGGACUGGGCCUGCUGGGUGCGGCAAGCCACGCGGCCGUGCAGAGCCUUCCCUUCCAAUAAACCGGUGUGAUUCACUCCAAA